UACGUAGGGAGCGAGCGUUGUCCGGAUUCAUUGGGCGUAAAGAGCUCGUAGGCGGCUUGGCAAGUCGGGUGUGAAAACUCCAGGCUCAACCUGGAGACGCCACCCGAUACUGCCAUGGCUAGAGUCCGGUAGGGGACCACGGAAUUCCUGGUGUAGCGGUGAAAUGCGCAGAUAUCAGGAGGAACACCGGUGGCGAAGGCGGUGGUCUGGGCCGGUACUGACGCUGAGGAGCGAAAGCGUGGGGAGCAAACAGG
rnacentral:rRNA from 1 species